AACCCAUGUGAAGUCUCUUAUGAAUAUGAUUCAACAAUGGAUCUUCACCUUCUUCCCAGAAAAAAUACAUAACUAUAUACGGAAAACAUUCACAAAAUCUCUCACACGACACACGUACACACUCGUUUGCAAGCACAUAACCUUUUAUGUGUUUGUGUUAUAUUUUUAGCUCUUUUUCCGGCUCAUCCUUGACUUGCGUGUUAAAGAAUCUACCGAAAGCAUUCCUUUUGGUGCUCCUCGAAACCUUAAUAUUUUCUCCCUUGGCUCAUAUGCCCAUUUACUAUCUAGCAAUUGACUCUGGCGAUUCCCAAAAACAUAUCUGUAAUGCGAUAGACCAAAAAUUCUUUUAAGUAUAUAUACACAUAUAUAUAUAUAUAUAUAUUUUUUUUUUUGAAAAAUCUUUCAGUUUUCUUAAAUUCACAUCCUAAUCGAAAUACCAUUAAUGAAGGACGGUCUCCGGCAUGUUUGGACGGCUCUUCGGUGUCACAUGGCGAUGAUAUUUCACUUCGUUCGAGAAAAGUUUCAAAAGCAAAC
rnacentral:lncRNA from 1 species